rnacentral:lncRNA from 1 species
GCCAAUCAAUUGAUGAGGAGAGGUAUUAACUUGGAGAGGACUUUUUUGUUGAAUUUCUACUUGUGAGCACUUCUCCCAUUGUUGUUGUGUUCUCUCUUUACUUUUCUUUUUUUUUUCUUCAUCUUUUUUUCUUGAAUCAUAUUCUUCUAUAAGACUCUCCUCAUGUGCUUUAACCUCUACAAAGUUUUUUCCCUUGUGACCGAAAAAG